GGUCACUUCAGCAGCUCAUAUACUACAAUUGGAACAGUGUAGAGAUUAGCAUGGCCCCUGUGUAAGGAAUGACAUGUAAAUGUGUGUAGCAGUCCAUAUGUUU